CACAGGGAUUAAAGAUGAGACUGAGAGUCUGGGAUUGCCAGUCUGGUCAGUGCCUGGGAGUGAUAAAUCUUGGUGGUGAAGUAGGUUCUAUGAUCAGUGAAGGUCCUUGGGUUUUUGUUGGUAUACCAAAUGCUGUAAAGAUCAUUCCUGGAUGAAGAAUAGUAGAAUACUGAAUCCCUUUCUAAACAACCUAGUCAAUGUAAAACUCUAGGUUAUAGAGAAUGUGAUGGAUAGCUCAUUUACCACCUGAUUUAUGUCUGGAGUCGGGAGUCAGGAGUCAGGACAUCCAGCUUUGGUACCGCAUAGCCUAGUAUAUUCGAAGCCUGAUCACCUACAGUCACACGCAGGUCCUCUUUUUCUCCUUUCCUGGUAGAGCCAUCUACUCCUUGCUUGCCAUCUGGUGGGUUGUCGUUCAGUAGCAAUGGCGUUCCAAUUGCUUGGAAUUCUCCUCCCUUGUUUCCGCAAUGCCAAGCUUUAGGUUUCCUCAGCCCUAGUACUAUGGUUGAGGAUAGUUGGUGUUCGUUGGAGUUUUCAUCUAGCAUAGAUUGAAUUGCAUUUUCUAGCUCCUUGCACUAUUGUCAAACUCCAUUUCAUUUAGGCUUGAAGCUACUGAAGUGAUUAGCAGACCAGCAGAAUUAACAUGCCCUUGUGAAGUCACAAUUUGGUUAUGUACUGUAUCAUGUUCCCAGUGGGCUGAUUGCUGAUGCUUGGUAGUUGGUGCCAUUUUUCAAUUUUCACUAGCUUGCUGAUGCUUUGGGUCUUUUUGUAAACAUUAUGUACUAUUGUCAUGUUUUGUAAUGUAAAUACUAAAUACACCUUAAUUCUCAGUGGAGCAUACUUCAAAUUUUUCUUAGUUAGUAUUUUACUCAUUGUGAAUAGAUGAUAGGAGCAUAAAGUGUGACGUUCUUAAUGUGUUUAUGUCAUAUUCUUAUUCUUUGUUACUUAUUAUUUAGUGUGUUUUAAUUUCUUUUGUUAGAAUAAUUGUUUAGGAAGAGCUUGAUUCGAAUAUCUGUAAUUGGAUGAUGAAAACGUGC